GAAUUUGCAAUAAUUUUUAUAGCGAAUUCACUAUAUACAUGUUUUCUUCAGCAGACAAUCAUUUUCGUUAAUUGAGGUUUAAAUUAAAAUUACAUUACUCUGAUACAUUAAAUAAUCUUUAAAUUAUUAUGAUAUGUUAUAUUAGAAAUCAAAUGUGGUGAGCUGUAAACUGCGUAUGGAAUGCAUCGACUCCGAAUUACGUAAAUGUGAUCCUGGUUAUCGUUUUGACUGUGAAAUUUGAAUUUGAAAUUUGACUGUGUUACUGUGAAAACUGGUAACUUUACUGUAACAUUUAUGUACGCUUGACUUUGUAACCUUUAUGUAUGCUUAUGUGUUUUAUUAUAAUUCUAGCGGCGCUUAUGCUUGAAUUAACAUUAGUAAUGGAGAUUAUAUGUUACGUUUGUGGAACUUUGGACAUUGGAAAACCCUGGUCGCAUUUAAUUGCGAUUAUAUUUGACUUUGAUUAUUUUGUAUUGUUUAUAAUUGUUGCUAAUAGUUUAUUGAUUAUUAUAAAUGACUUUUUGUAUAAAAUACAACAAUAAUAUAUAGUCAUGUGUGUAGUAUACAUUUUUGUUAACAGACUUUAAUUGUAUCCCAAGCUGGUGUAGGAAAUUGGUCAUUCCUGCGACCUCUUUACAUAGAUGUUCUGACCGGUGUGUCACCAGGAAGUUCAUCUGGCCAAGAAGAGUUUAAAGGAUAAUUUCUCACACCGGGCAUCUGGCGAAAAAAAUCUCCCUCGAGGAUAUUUCUUUUGUUAGGGGGACGUAUGUAACCAGAUAAUCAUAUUGAUGAAAUAUAAUUCUAUAUUUUUAUUCUGUUUUACGUUAAUAAGUCAUUCGCUUGUUGUGCACUAGAUAAGUGUAUAAUGAACAAUGUUAAAGGUCAUGGAGCGAAAAGGACAACUAACGUAGUUUGAAUUCAUGGUGUCAGCGGGAUGACCCGGAAGAAUAAAACUCUCGAUGAUGAUUGGACUUUGAAAAGCGGUCAACGGAUGCAUGACUCUUAAUUGUAAUUAACCUUUAAAAAUGGACGUUUAUAAAUCACUUAUGAACUGUGACCCAAAAGGAUGUUUUAACAAUUGUUUAAUCUAUAUACUGAUUUUUAAUUUUAUGAUUUGAUUAAGAAAUUGUAGAUUGAUUUCAGACGACUAACGAUAACUGUACGUAAUAAAUAUCAUAAAACAU
rnacentral:sRNA from 1 species